rnacentral:rRNA from 1 species
UACGGAGGGUGCGAGCGUUGUUCGGAAUCACUGGGCGUAAAGCGCGUGUAGGCGGCCUCUUAAGUCUGGUGUGAAAGCCCGGGGCUUACCCCCGGAAGGGCACUGGAGACUGGGAGGCUUGAGUACCGGAGAGGAAGGUGGAAUUCCUGGUGUAGCGGUGAAAUGCGUAGAUAUCAGGAGGAACACCGGUGGCGAAGGCGGCCUUCUGGACGGCUACUGACGCUGAGACGCGAAAGCGUGGGGAGCAAACAGG